AGCUAGUAGCUCAGCUAGCGAAAAGUAUGCGGCAACUGCAUCCCCCACUUCAAAGUCCGCCCUAACGUGCUUUUUUCCCCACACUGACCGGCUCGGAUAGUCUCAACGAGUGUCCCACAACAUACGAGAGAUGAGAAGUGAACGAAAACCUCCACAUUACCUGGCGAUCACUCUUUGUUGUGGUCUGUAUCCAAAUCUCGCUAGAAAGCAAAUCUCGUUCCGAAAUCGCGCGAUAUCUCGCGCCCGGUGGGGGGAAACAGCUGUUUGCCUCAGGAGACGAGGAGAGAGACGAGUGGAGCGAUUUUGUGUUGGAUUACAGAACAGUUCGUUUUUUUCUAAACCUGGUAAAACUAAUGGGUCGUCAGUGCGCAUUUCUGAGUUGUAGCAACAGAAUGGUAUGCUACACUUCGCGCAGCUUUCACAGACUACAGUACUCGGAGAAGGAAAUGCUACAGUUGUGGCUAAACGUUUUACAAGUGGACCCUGAAACUCCAGUUGAUGCACUUCGACGUGCCGACUACAGAGUCUGCAGCGACCAUUUUGACCGGGAUGAUUACUGCAGAUCAAAGAGGCGAGCAAAUCCCAAACGCGUUUUUUUGAGGAAAAGUGCAGUUCCUAGAUGGGAGACACCAGCUGCAGGCGGAGUGCAGGACGCUGAUGGUGCUGACUGUUCACAAGCAACGGAAUUUGCUGCAGUUCCACAAUCCACUCGAGUAAAAAGUAGACACAGAGCAGAUGAAGAACCAUGUCCUAAACUGUCAUCUGGCUUGAAACUUAUUCUGUCAAGUCCUCAUCAGACCACACCUCGCAGCAAGCCUUCAUUAUCUGGAACAUAUCAUGCACUACCUCCCUCUUGGGCACAAUCCAUGGUAAGUUUAGCUGUGCUAACACCUUUUCUGAACAAUUCAACUAUCACCAUACAACUUCAACAUUCCUGGAAAGACAAUCAGUCAGUGCAUAUUGUUAUUGUGUGUACAACAGACUGUACCUGCACCAACUGCAGAUUUGACUGUCCCUCGCACAGAAACUGAACAUUUAUCACAUGUGAGUAGUAUGACUUUUAGUCAGCUUUGUAAAAGAAAAGAAGUGUCAAGAUUUUACAACUAUCCUGUUUCUUCAGACUCAACAGGAAGAUGCAGCAGAACCUGUUUUGAUUGACAUGAGCAUGACCUUCGAGGAAGGUUGAUGCUACAGGUACGGACCCAUACUUGUAGCAUCUGUACUAGAGGUACGGACCCGUACCCGUACCCGUAGCAUCUGUACUAGAGGUACGGACCGUUAAGGUCACUGAAGAGCUGGCGCCAGUUAACUACUAUUUGCUGCACAUUACAGGCAGUUUAUAUGAAUGACUCUGACGGCGAACAUUGUAUAAUUUAACCAAAAAUACAACGUCUCCUCUCACACUUUAGACAUUGCAGUUUUUACGCUUUUAGACGCCGUGUCUAGUCCAGUUCCUAUUAAUUAGUUUACCGCGUUCAGUGGUGAAAGCGGCUGACGAACUCCAUUGCAAAUGUUCCCAUUUAAUUUCGGACACUAAUUUACAAGAUAAAGUGAAGGAUGUCGGAUAUGAAGCAAACACUCGUGAAUGGUGAGGAGCAGCUCUUUAAUUCGGCAUGAAUUAAAAAAAAAACACAAACUCGAUUUACUGUGAUAUUGUGAGAUUUGUUUGUGGUUAUGUAACUUAGCCAUUCAACAGAGUCAGCUAACAUUAAAGUGACUGACGUGCAGUGUCUGUGUUGACAGACGUAGAAAAUACGUCAGGGUUUUGUUUAGGUUGUUAAUAUGUAAUAGUCUGUCGCUACUUUUGAAGGUAAAAAAAAUACUUGUAGUUUGCUGGCUGUUAGUUCUGCCAUUUGUUUUAUUUGCUGUUUGUGCUUUAUUAGAACAGGAUCACGUGAAUAAAAAGUUUUGCUAUUUUUAAUAGUAGUGCUGAUUUCAACCCCCAAAUCGCUGUCCGUGAAAAAGUCAGAUAAUGAUAUUUAUAAGACAUUAUGCAUGAUAGAAAAGAGAACAGCAGAUGACUGACAUGACAGGCUCGCCACGCAGAUUCACCUCGAAUCACGGAAGCGCCUUCAUCACUCGGAUUACCAAACCGGUUUAUUAAUAUUUAUGUACGUCGGAUUACCAGCCAAUCACAAAGCGCGUUCAUCAGCCGGCUCAUUAAUAUUCAUGUACGUCUCAUUAAUAUUUAUGAUAAGGGAAAGUGCCGUAUCCGUAGGCCACAGGCUACGGGUACGGGUCCGUAUCUGUAGACACUACCUUCGAGGAAAUGAGUAUUCAUGAUCCAACAGACAGCAGUUUUGCACCUCUCAGCACCACCUCAUCUUCUGCCACAGGAUCUGCUUCUGCCUCUGCCUCUGCCUCAGGUAGCCCCCCCUGGAGAUGCACCAAAAGGAUGGGCAGAGAAAAAAUGGCUGGUCAAUGAGUCAAAACUCAGGGAACUUUUUAAUAGGUGCAGCCAAUGUGGGUGUGCCAUCACUGAAAAGAAAGUGACAACAAGAUCAAGCCAAAAAAAAUAAAUAGAGUGGAACUUCCUGAAUGGACACUCAGGAAAGUGGGCAUCCAGCCCUGAUAGAAGAGGGAUGGCAGAAAAUAAUCUUUUUGUAUCUGCAGCUAUUCUUUUUACCGGAGCUACAUACACCACCAUUGCAGAGUGGGCUGGACAACUAAAUGUCCAAAUUCCAAAGCCAACUCAGUUUUAUGCCAUUCAGUCAACUUACCUCAUUCCAGUCAUCCAGUAUGCAUACAGAGACCAACAUGAAAAAAUCAUGGAGCGUCUCAGAACAUCUGGAAAGAAAAUUGAACUCUGUGGUGACGCAAGAUGUGAUAGCCCAGCAAAUAUUCAACGUACUCAUUCCAAGACGAUGACACAAAAGAAAUUCUGCAUUUUGAAUUGGCUCAGGUUACAGAGGCAUCCAGCUCGGUGGCAAUGGAGGGGAUGGGGUUCCAGAGAGGGCUGAACUACUUGCUACAUAUGGGUGUGGAUGUUGGUGUUAUGACAACAGACAGGUCGCCAUCUGUCAGAAAAAUCAUGAAGGAAACAUACAGCAACAUCCUCCAUGAAUUUGACCCGUGGCAUGUCAACAAAAGUGUGAAAAAGAAACUUGUGGCUGCUUCAAAGAAGACACAAAACAAAGAUCUGCAACCAUGGGUCAAAUCCAUCUGCAACCACCUUUACUGGUCAUGUAGCUCAUCUAAAGGUGAUCAAGAGGAUGUUGUGCGACGUUGGAAGAGCGUACUGCAUCACAUUUGUGGCGUGCAUAGAUGGGAGGAGGAUGGUGUUGAGUUCACCUGUCAUCAUCCAGCCCUGACCGAGGAUCAGCAGAGAAGGAAAAAAUGGCUUCAUGCAGAUUCAUCAGCUUUCCGUGCUCUCAAAGCAGUGGUAUUGGACAAGAAUCUCCUGCAUGAUUUGAGGCAGAUGGCACGUUUCAAGCACACUGGAUCUCUGGAGGUCUACCAUGCUUCAAUGUUGAAGUACACUGAAAGAGGCUGCACUUCGCAUAUGACUCCAUGAGGGCCCGUACACAGCUGGCAAUCAUGGAUCAUAAUGCCAACAUUGACAGACCACAGGCAAAAACAACGGAAGGAGAAUGCCGAUACAGAUAUUCAUUCUCAAAACAAAGUGCACAGUGGGCUGCAAGGCCCAUCUAUGAACAUACCAAGCAGACCUUCUGUAAUGACCUCAUGGAGCGUGUCUUGAAGAGAUGACACAACUGUUGUUUUUACAGAGCCUCUGCCCCGUCUCAAACCCCGCCGAAGACUUCUUCGUAACAUUGCUCCUGUUCCGAGGCCUACCAAAGCUGAUUUGCUUGCACGACAUAGUUCAAGGUUCAGACCUUGCUAAAGAGGAUCCAAUAUAAUGUUUAGGACAUUAUUCUUUAUGCUGCUUUGUGUGUGUACCAGGUUGAAAAUAAAGAGAUUGGAAAACAGUAGUUCUAAAAAUAAUUUAUUUUAGAUGAUUGACUAUUACAGUGAAGUAUAACAGAGAAAUGUAUGUGUGCAGAAUAAUUUACAUUAUCCCAAAGACGUCCUCUGUGUCGUUGAAACCAGCAUAAGUGCCAAUUGGAGAGGGGUACUUGUUUCUUAUAGCCACAACAACGCAGCCAGGCAACACUCUCCUAUUCCCACGACCAAGAUGCUCUCCUCUGAGCGCCCACUCCAGCACCACACGGUAAGCCACGAGUCUGCAUUGGCUGGAGAAGAGGAAAUAAUCAAUUUUCUAUGUGAAAAGUAUGACAAAAUAACAGUAAUUGCGCACACCAGAGACCUUUCGCAGUAAAUAAAGUACACAAACGUAAAUGGUCACAUACACACGUGGACAAAAUUGUUGGUACCCCUCAGUUAAAGAAGGAAAAAC